rnacentral:rRNA from 1 species
AUGAACGCUGGCGGCGUGGUUAAGACAUGCAAGUCGAACGGUUUUCAUUGAAGGGCAACCGGAUAUGAAAGCAGUGGCGAACGGGUGCGUAACACGUGAACAAUCUACCUCCAAGUGGGGAAUAGCUCGCCGAAAGGCGAAUUAAUACCGCAUGUGGUGGUUUCUCGCAUGAGAGACUUACUAAAAACAGGGACCGCAAGGCCUGUUGCUGGGAGAGGAGUUCGCGGCCUACAGCUAGUUGGCGAGGUAACGGCUCACCAAGGCUAAGACGGGUAGCUGGUCUGAGAGGAUGA